CAGGAUGAACGCUAGCGGCAGGCUUAACACAUGCAAGUCGAGGGCAGCGGGAUGUAGCAAUACAUUGCCGGCGACCGGCGGAUGGGUGCGUAACGCGUAUGCAACCUACCUUAUACAGGGGAAUAGCCUUUCGAAAGGGAGACUAACACCCCAUAGUAUUGAUUUAAGGCAUCUUAGAUUAAUUAAAUAUUUAUAGGUAUAAGAUGGGCAUGCGUAUGAUUAGCUAGUUGGUAAGGUAACGGCUUACCAAGGCGACGAUCAUUAGGGGUUCUGAGAGGAAGGUCCCCCACACUGGUACUGAGACACGGACCAGACUCCUACGGGAGGCAGCAGUGAGGAAUAUUGGUCAAUGGGCGCAAGCCUGAACCAGCCAUGCCGCGUGCCAGGAAGACGGCCUUAUGGGUUGUAAACUGCUUUUACAUAAGACUAACCGUAUAUUUGCGAAUAUACCUGAAUGUAUUAUGAGAAUAAGGAUCGGCUAACUCCGUGCCAGCAGCGGC
rnacentral:rRNA from 1 species